AAUAAGUGCAGUUUUGCACUAUUCACGUUCAACGUUUGACCGUCCGUCUUAUUUGAAAUUUUUUUAUNAUUUUUCAAAUAAGACGGACGGUCAAACGUUGAACGUGAAUAGUGCAAAACUGCACUUAUU
rnacentral:pre_miRNA from 1 species